rnacentral:rRNA from 1 species
CCUACGGGAGGCAGCAGUGAGGAAUAUUGGUCAAUGGACGCAAGUCUGAACCAGCCACGUCGCGUGAAGGAAGACGGCCCUACGGGUUGUAAACUUCUUUUAUACGGGAAUAAAGUGCCCCACGCGUGGGGUUUUGCAAGUACCGUACGAAUAAGGAUCGGCUAACUCCGUGCCAGCAGCCGCGGUAAU